CGGGAAUAAACUUUCUUUCCGAUUUAUUCAUUAAUGUAUCCUGCUUUAAGAAAGGGGAAUCAUACAUAUAUUUUGUGUUUCAGCAUACAAGCAAAAUUCCUAUUGGAAAACACUGAGCGUCUCUUCUUUCCCGCCGAUUUGCUCCUUGAAUCAUAUGAGACAGAUAUCAUAUACUUUUUUUGUAUAUAUUUAACCGAUACCCAUGCAAUACACGAAAAUUAGUGUUCCGAAAAAAUAAAAAUGAAUCUAUAGUAUGAGCGUCUCAUGACUGAAUAAUGACAAGAUAUCAUUAUCCUUUAACUUCAAGUCCCCUUAUCAUUUACAGAUUCAAAUGAUGUCUUGUUACUAAAUAAUUCAAAAUUGUGUGACUUUAUUGAACUCAUCUUUCCAAAAAAUUUAACAACAAAUACAAUAGAACCUGUCUGCGACCAAGGUCGGGGAAAUAAGACUGCCAUUUUAAAACGAAGAAACAUUAAAUGGGGAUAAGCAUAUUUUCAUUGCAACAGGCACGCUUGGUCCACCAAAGAGCUGUUCCGGUGGUUGCUGCACG
rnacentral:lncRNA from 1 species